GUGAGGAAUAUUGGUCAAUGGACGAGAGUCUGAACCAGCCAAGUAGCGUGCAGGAUGACGGCCCUAUGGGUUGUAAACUGCUUUUAUCAGGGAAUAAAGUGCGGCACGUGUGCCGUUUUGUAUGUACCUGACGAAUAAGGACCGGCUAAUUCCGUGCCAGCAGCCGCGGUAAUACGGAAGGUCCGGGCGUUAUCCGGAUUUAUUGGGUUUAAAGGGAGCGUAGGCCGGAUAUUAAGCGUGUUGUGAAAUGCAGGUGCUCAACGUCUGCACUGCAGCGCGAACUGGUAUCCUUGAGUGCGCUGGAAGUCGGCGGAAUUCGUCGUGUAGCGGUGAAAUGCUUAGAUAUGACGAAGAACUCCGAUUGCGAAGGCAGCUGACUGUAGCGUUACUGACGCUGAAGCUCGAAGGUGCGGGUAUCGAACAGGAUUAGAAACCCCAGUAGUCC
rnacentral:rRNA from 1 species